GCCUCCGUAGUUCAGUUGGUUAGAACGUCGUACUUAUAAGUAAACGAAGAGAUGCGAAGGUCCCGAGAUCAAAGCUCGGCGGAGGCA